rnacentral:lncRNA from 1 species
AGAAGAAGAAGAAGAAGAAUGAGCCAAAAGUAAAACGAAAGAUUACCAGUGAUGAAGGCCUCCAGCAUGAGUCCCAGAAGCAUCUGCAGGGCAAGCAGCGCGAUGGCAGUGGGGCAGUCUGCGUUUGGGUACAUUGUGCCAUACCCAAUAGUGAGUUGCGUCUCCAGGGCGAACGAGAAGGCGGCUGUGAACCCAUUCACAUGUUUAACACACAGCACAUGACCGGGAGGAGGAGAAUCAUGAUCCAGGACAUCCAGGUCUCCAUUGACCCGAGCCAGCAGGUACCAUAAUACAGCAAACAGCAGCCAGUGAAGCAGGAAUGAGCCACAAAAAGCCAAAACCACCCACCGCCACCGUAGCGCCAGCCAUGUGCCCCACAAGUCCCGCAGAGCACUGAAACACGUCUCUCUGGAGCCUCCUCUUGUGUUUCCUCUUGUCUGGCUCCGGCCGUCUUUGCUGACCAGGCGGCGACGCUGAGGUUUGACCAUCAAAGGGCAGGAGGCCUUUUGGUCAGCGGUGGUGUUUGUCAUGGUGGUAGGCAUGUGGAUGGUAUCUGGAAAGGUGAUUCCUCAGUGUUCUCAAAUGAAGUGUGAAAGCUUCUAGGAUGUUGAAGAAGGAUCUAGAUCUUGAGGAACCGCAGAUCCUCGGUCACAGUGUAAAACCAAGCUAGAUCCUUCAGUAGGAGACACCAGAGUCAGAUGCACUGAAGAAACUCCUGCAAACACACACACAUGCAAUGAAAAGAGCCGGCCCUGAAACUCAUUGGUCACAUUACUCAGCAUGUGGCCAAUUAGGAAAGCUUGAGAGAGGAGGAGAACACCUAGAGUCACUUCUGUGUGUGUGUUUGUGUAUGUGUGUAUGAUGAAAGGAACAGUACUUUUCUUUCUUACCCAUCGUUUUCUUUCUGUUAAACUUCUAUCAAUUACUGUUUCCGUUUCAGGGCUAAGUGUAGUGAAAGCAGGUUUUGUCCUGUUUUUGUUAGUCAGCGUGAUUCUUUCUGCAUGAGCGCAUGUGUUAACGAUUACAUAAUGUGUCUCAUUUAAAGGGUCACACUUUUCAGUCGCAAACUUUGCUGAUGAUAGUUCCAUGAUCACAUUUAAUUAAGGUUAUGUUUUAGUUUGUUUCAGAUCUUUCGCAUAAUUGCGUCACAGCAUAUCUCAGAUUGUUUGGUCUUGUCAGAAAUGUUUGAUGAGGAAUGUUCGAGUUCAUAUUGAGAUCUCUGACUUUGUUGUGUUUUUUUUAAAUGAGAUUUGUUUUCAUUCUCUGGCGUAAAAUGUGAGAAGUUUAAAUCUCAUUUAAUCUCAUCAGCAUCCAGGAGAAACAACAGAGAUAUUAAUCAAGAGAUCUCAAUUAUAAAUAAAAGAUCUUAUGCGAUUUUUGGUUAUCAUUGGGUUGGAACGCAUUCAUGAAAUUAAUACUUUUAAUUAACUAAGUUUGCACUUUACAUCAUACAAAAUGUCUAAUAAUAAGUAUUUUAAAUGAUAUAUAACAGUUUUGAAGUACAAAUAAAUUUACAUUAUUAAAUCAAUAUCAGGG